GCAUCCAUGGCUGAAUGGUUAAAGCGCCCAACUCAUAAUUGGCGAAUUGGUAGGUUCAAUUUGUACUAGAUGCA
rfam:Vitis vinifera, whole genome shotgun sequence of line PN40024, unoriented chromosome 19, chr19